GACGAACGCUGGCGGCGUGCCUAAUACAUGCAAGUAGAACGCUGAAGGAGGAGCUUGCUUCUCUGGAUGAGUUGCGAACGGGUGAGUAACGCGUAUGUAACCUGCCUGGUAGCGGGGGAUAACUAUUGGAAACGAUAGCUAAUACCGCAUAAGAGUAGAUGUUGCAUGACAUUUGCUUAAAAGGUGCAAUUGCAUCACUACCAGAUGGACCUGCGUUGUAUUAGCUAGUUGGUGGGGUAACGGCUCAACAAGGCGACGAUACAUAGCCGACCUGGGAGGGGGAACGGCCACACUGGGACUGAGACACGGCCCAGAAUCCUACGGGAGGCAGCAGUAGGGAAUCUUCGGGCAUGGACGGAAGGCUGAACGAGCAACGCCGCGUGAGGGAAGAAGGUUUUCGGAUCGGAAAGAUCUGUUGUAAGGGAAGAACGAGUGUGAGAGUGGAAAGUUCACACUGUGACGGUAUCUUACCAGAAAGGGACGGCUAACUACGUG
rnacentral:rRNA from 1 species